ACGAACGCUGGCGGCGUGCCUAAUACAUGCAAGUAGAACGCUGAAGAGAGGAGCUUGCUCUUCUUGGAUGAGUUGCGAACGGGUGAGUAACGCGUAGGUAACCUGCCUUGUAGCGGGGGAUAACUAUUGGAAACGAUAGCUAAUACCGCAUAACAAUGGAUGACCCAUGUCAUUUAUUUGAAAGGGGCAAAUGCUCCACUACAAGAUGGACCUGCGUUGUAUUAGCUAGUAGGUGAGGUAACGGCUCACCUAGGCGACGAUACAUAGCCGACCUGAGAGGGUGAUCGGCCACACUGGGACUGAGACACGGCCCAGACUCCUACGGGAGGCAGCAGUAGGGAAUCUUCGGCAAUGGGGGCAACCCUGACCGAGCAACGCCGCGUGAGUGAAGAAGGUUUUCGGAUCGUAAAGCUCUGUUGUAAGUCAAGAACGAGUGUGAGAGUGGAAAGUUCACACUGUGACGGUAGCUUACCAGAAAGGGACGGCUAACUACGUGCCAGCAGCCGCGGUAAUACGUAGGUCCCGAGCGUUGUCCGGAUUUAUUGGGCGUAAAGCGAGCGCAGGCGGUUUGAUAAGUCUGAAGUUAAAGGCUGUGUCUCAACCAUAGUUCGCUUUGGAAACUGUCAAACUUGAGUGCAGAAGGGGAGAGUGGAAUUCCAUGUGUAGCGGUGAAAUGCGUAGAUAUAUGGAGGAACACCGGUGGCGAAAGCGGCUCUCUGGUCUGUAACUGACGCUGAGGCUCGAAAGCGUGGGGAGCGAACAGGAUUAGAUACCCUGGUAGUCCACGCCGUAAACGAUGAGUGCUAGGUGUUGGAUCCUUUCCGGGAUUCAGUGCCGCAGCUAACGCAUUAAGCACUCCGCCUGGGGAGUACGACCGCAAGGUUGAAACUCAAAGGAAUUGACGGGGGCCCGCACAAGCAGUGGAGUAUGUGGUUUAAUUCGACGCAACGCGAAGAACCUUACCAGGUCUUGACAUCCGAUGCAUAGUGCAGAGAUGCAUGAAGUCCUUCGGGACAUCGAGACAGGUGGUGCAUGGUUGUCGUCAGCUCGUGUCGUGAGAUGUUGGGUUAAGUCCCGCAACGAGCGCAACCCCUAUUGUUAGUUGCCAUCAUUCAGUUGGGCACUCUAGCGAGACUGCCGGUAAUAAACCGGAGGAAGGUGGGGAUGACGUCAAAUCAUCAUGCCCCUUAUGACCUGGGCUACACACGUGCUACAAUGGUUGGUACAACGAGUUGCGAGUCGGUGACGGCAAGCUAAUCUCUUAAAGCCAAUCUCAGUUCGGAUUGUAGGCUGCAACUCGCCUACAUGAAGUCGGAAUCGCUAGUAAUCGCGGAUCAGCACGCCGCGGUGAAUACGUUCCCGGGCCUUGUACACACCGCCCGUCACACCACGAGAGUUUGUAACACCCGAAGUCGGUGAGGUAACCUUUUGGAGCCAGCCGCCUAAGGUGGGAUAGAUGAUUGGGGUG
rnacentral:rRNA from 1 species